CACUGGUGGCUAGAACUGAGGCUAGCCAUGCCUCCAGGUUCUGUAUGUGUACUUGGACUGCAUUAUUUAAAGAACGGAAGGAAUAUGGUUCUGGUGCGACUUUCAUGCUGGUCAAGCUGAAUGCCUUCCUCCCCUGGUGCUGGCCUGCUUUGAAUCCCAGCCAAGAUGAAGUAAUUGAAAACUACCAGCCUGAAUACUUCAGAAGUCUAUCAUGGAACAAGAUUCAACAAGCCUCUUCUCAGUUUGUAAAUAUGCUGGAAUAUAAGUAGUAAAAAGGCUUCAAUGUCAAACAA